GCGCCGCUAGCUCAAUUGGUAGAGCAACUGACUCUUAAUCAGUAGGUUCGGGGUUCGAUUCCCUGGCGGCGUA
rnacentral:tRNA from 1 species